AAGCUCGUAGUUGAAUUUCGGAUUCGGUCAGGCGGUCCGUCUUGUACGUGUAUUGCCUUAACCGGGUCCCAUUUUCUGGGUUUUGGACAUGUUCUUAGUUGAGUGUGUUUGGAAUCCAGUACGUUUACUUUGAAAAAAUUAGAGUGUUUAAAGCAAGCCUAUGCUUGAAUACAUUAGCAUGGAAUAAUAGAAUAGGACUUUGGUUUUAUUUUGUUGGUUUUUAUAGCCAAAGUAAUGAUUAAUAGGGACAGUUGGGGGCAUUAGUAUUUAAUUGUCAGAGGUGAAAUUCUUGGAUUUAUGAAAGACUAACUUCUGCGAAAGCAUUUGCCAAGGAUGUUUUCAUUAAUCAAGAACGAAAGUUAGGGGAUCGAAGACGAUCAGAUACCGUCGUAGUCUUAACCAUAAACUAUGCCGACUAGGGAUUGGGCGAUGUUUCUUUUGACUCGCUCAGCACCUUACGAGAAAUCAAAGUUUUU
rnacentral:rRNA from 1 species